rnacentral:lncRNA from 1 species
AAACAUCAAUUAAAAAAUCAAGCUUUUUGGCAUAGUCCCAAAAUAACGGAUGAUUCAAAACCACUUCGAUUGUAGGACGCUUGCUUGGCUCAAAUGCAAUCAUAUCCUCAAUCAAAUCAGCGGCCAACACACCACACUCUCCUAAUGAUUGCAAAUGUACCAAACAAUAAUUUCCUUUAAGAAUGUUGCCCUCACAAUCAUAAUGGGAACCAAACGGGUGCAUCCCACCAGUUAACGUAUAAUAAAAAAUACAACCGAGGGCAAAAAUAUCAGUAGCGUGGGAAGCUUGUCGGAUUCUACCUUCACGAGUUUUCACUUGUAUUUCUUUCGAUUGUUGAGACAGGGAACCACUUAAAAUUUCCGGAGAUCUCCAACCAUAAGAACCGGCUGCCUCAAAAGUGGUAUUACGAAGACUGCUUUGAUUAAAAUCUAACUUCUUGCUCAAUCCAAAAUCGGAAAUAAGAGCCCUGACUCGAGUUUUGGAAAGAUUUGGCGAAUUAUUAACAACAAGUAAAAUAUUUUGUGGCUUUAAAUCACGAUGAACUAAAUCCAAACUAUGUAAAUGAGAAACCCCAAAAGCUAUUUGAUAUAGCAAUGAAACUAGAUCAAUCGAUUUGAAUAGGUCAUCAUAAGCAAUUGGUUUUUCGAUUAAAUCAGAUAGGUUGCAUUUACAUAAUUCGAUGACAAUGUAAAGGAAUUGGUCACUUUUUUGUUUGCAAUAAUAACGAACGAUAUUAGGAUGAUUAUCACUCUGCUGUAAAAGUGUUAUUUCUCUUGAUGCUAAGUCAUAAAACUCCAUUAAAACUCUCUUGACAGCUACCUCCCUAUCUUCAUAAACACCACGAUAAACAAUUGUACCAUGACUACCAUAACCAAUUACUUCAGGAUAAACAGUCAAUGAGUUUACAGUCACUGAACCAUCAGUGUUUUGGAUUACAGUUGCCUCAGGAAGAUGACUUUUUAGGCUGCUAUCGAGACUUUUUUGUAAAGGAUCAGUUGAUUUGUCUUGAAUUUCAACAAUAUUUUCACUCAAGAUAUCCAAUGUUUGAUUUUGUUCAAAAGACGCCUGGCUUUCUAUCUCGUUGAAGUUAGAAGAAGCCGAAUGCUCAUCGCUAACUCUCUUUCUUCGUUUGCCUUUACGCCGGCGUUUUGAAGUAUCAAUUUUAUUAUUGAUAGAAACCGUAUUUUUCUGAGAUUUUAACGGUCUGACUUCAGAAGAGCGAAUCCUAAGAAUGGAAAAGAAGGUAACAAUUGUAAAAGACACACUUAGGAACAUUAUAACCCAAAAUGUGAUAGAAAUAGGCGUAGAGGAAAUAGGAUUUGGAUCUAGUAAAGGAAUAGGUUUUUUUCCAAUUGAAGGUAAUGUUUUUGUUGAGCCUUCAGAUUCCACGUAAGAAGGAAUAUCAUAACCAGGAAGUCCUGGCAAAGCAAAAAAAGGCUUAGGGGUUGCCAUUAGGGAAUGAAGUCCAAAAAUACUAUUCAGUGGAAUAUAAAAUCCAUUGUAAUAAAGGAAGGAAGCUUCCGGAGCAAGUGAUACCAAAGGAUAAUGACGUUCCGACAUCGCAAACCAUGCAUUACCUAUAUGAUUUAUGUAUACGUGUUCAGUUUUGUUUCUUGCAAUUUGAGGAAACAUCGUUUCUAGGUAUGUGUCAAUCGGUUGUCGAAGCAGAACAGAAGUCGGAAAUUUCGCAGGUGUUUGAGAUUUGUCUAUCUUCUUGUUGUGAGGUAAAGUUACGAUAUCAAACACUGUGGCAGCAGGAGACAUCAAAGGGAUGUUCUGUUUUAUGAACUUGGAAUGGGUAUCAACAAUGUGCAACGAACUGUCAUAUGAUGAAAGCGCAAGUUUCGAAUCAAAAGAUGAUGAAUGAAAAGAUUCAUACAUUAUUUCGUUUUUAGUUGGUGUCCAAUCGAUGUAAACCAAAUCAAGUAUGACAUUGGAAUCAGAAUAUAUUGUUAUGAAAUAUUCCGUUCUAGCAAUAUCAACAAACGAUUUAUUUGAAACAGUAACCUGGUAAUUGAAAUCAUCAAGCAAGUCCAAACUUUCAGACAAUUUUUUACCAGAAGGGUCCUUAAAUGAUAAAUCAGAG